rnacentral:misc_RNA from 1 species
GAUGAAGAACGCAGUGAAAUGCGAUAAGUAAUGUGAAUUGCAGAAUUCAGUGAAUCAUCGAAUCUUUGAACGCACAUUGCGCCCGCUAGUAUUCUGGCGGGCAUGCCUGUCCGAGCGUCAUUUCAACCCUCAAGCCCCCGGGCUUGGUGUUGGGGAUCGGCGAGCCUCCGCGCCCGCCGUCCCCUAAAUCUAGUGGCGGUCUCGCUGUAGCUUCCUCUGCGUAGUAGCACACCUCGCACUGGGAAACAGCGCGGCCACGCCGUUAAACCCCCAACUUCUGAACGUUUGACCUCGGAUCAGGUAGGAAUACCCGCUGAACUUAAGUAUAUCAAUAAGCGGAGGA